GAUGAACGCUGGCGGCGUGCCUAAUACAUGCAAGUCGAGCGAACGGACGAGAAGCUUGCUUCUCUGAUGUUAGCGGCGGACGGGCGAGUAACACGUGGAUAACCUACCUAUAAGACUGGGAUAACUUCGGGAAACCGGAGCUAAUACCGGAUAAUAUUUUGAACCGCAUGGUUCAAAAGUGAAAGACGGUCUUGCUGUCACUUAUGGAUGGAUCCGCGCUGCAUUAGCUAGUUGGUAAGGUAACGGCUUACCAAGGCAACGAUGCAUAGCCGACCUGAGAGGGUGAUCGGCCACACUGGAACUGAGACACGGUCCAGACUCCUACGGGAGGCAGCAGUAGGGAAUCUUCCGCAAUGGGCGAAAGCCUGACGGAGCAACGCCGCGUGAGUGAUGAAGGUCUUCGGAUCGUAAAACUCUGUUAUUAGGGAAGAACAUAUGUGUAAGUAACUGUGCACAUCUUGACGGUACCUAAUCAGAAAGCCACGGCUAACUACGUG
rnacentral:rRNA from 1 species